UGAUUAUUGAAGGGUGCUUGCAUCUUGAUUUAAUUUUGAACGAGUGGCGGACGGGUGAGUAACACGUGGGUAACCUGCCCUUAAGUGGGGGAUAACAUUUGGAAACAGAUGCUAAUACCGCAUAAAUCCAAGAACCGCAUGGUUCUUGGCUGAAAGAUGGCGUAAGCUAUCGCUUUUGGAUGGACCCGCGGCGUAUUAGCUAGUUGGUGAGGUAACGGCUCACCAAGGCAAUGAUACGUAGCCGAACUGAGAGGUUGAUCGGCCACAUUGGGACUGAGACACGGCCCAAACUCCUACGGGAGGCAGCAGUAGGGAAUCUUCCACAAUGGACGCAAGUCUGAUGGAGCAACGCCGCGUGAGUGAAGAAGGCUUUCGGGUCGUAAAACUCUGUUGUUGGAGAAGAAUGGUCGGCAGAGUAACUGUUGUCGGCGUGACGGUAUCCAACCAGAAAGCCACGGCUAACUACGUGCCAGCAGCCGCGGUAAUACGUAGGUGGCAAGCGUUAUCCGGAUUUAUUGGGGCGUAAAGCGAGCGCAGGCGGUUUUUUAAGUCUGAUGUGAAAGCCCUCGGCUUAACCGAGGAAAGUGCAUCGGAAACUGGGAAACUUGAG
rnacentral:rRNA from 1 species